UACAGAGGGGGCGAGCGUUAUUCGGAAUUAUUGGGCGUAAAGGGCGCGUAGGCGGCUUUGCAAGUGACGGGUGAAAUCCCUCGGCUUAACCGAGGAACUGCCUGUCAGACUGUGAGGCUUGAGACCGGGAGAGGUGAGUGGAAUUCCCAGUGUAGCGGUGAAAUGCGUAGAUAUUGGGAGGAACACCAGUGGCGAAGGCGGCUACCUGGACCGGUUCUGACGCUGAGGCGCGAAAGCGUGGGUAGCAAACAGG
rnacentral:rRNA from 1 species